rnacentral:misc_RNA from 1 species
GAAAUGCGAUAAGUAGUGUGAAUUGCAGAAUUCAGUGAAUCAUCGAAUCUUUGAACGCACAUUGCGCUCCCUGGUAUUCCUAGGAGCAUGCCUGUUUGAGUAUCAGUAAACUAUCUCACUACACAUCUCGAUGUGUUUUGGGGAUCUGAGGUAUCCCAGGCAGAGGUAACUCUGAAACUGGGCGCCUUAAAAUUUAUUGUUUGGCUCGGAUCUCUAAGACCCUAUGGCUAAAAAGCGCGACAAAACUGACGAGCUCAAGCUCUAAGGUUAAAAUCCGCUGCUUGGCUCAUGGAGAAAAUUUGGAGACUCUAUCGCCUGCUCAAUAUUUUAACACGCAAUCUAUGGCUCUGGUCAUACUUUGUGAUCUUGAUCUCAAAUCAGGCAAGACUACCCGCUGAAC